AUUGAACGCUGGCGGCAGGCCUAACACAUGCAAGUCGAACGAGCGGCGGACGGGUGAGUAAUGUAUGGGAAUCUGGCUGAUGGAGGGGGAUAACUACUGGAAACGGUAGCUAAUACCGCAUACCAUCGGAUGAGCCCAAGUGGGAUUAGGUAGUGGGUGAGGUAACGGCUCACCUAGCCGACGAUCCCUAGCUGGUCUGAGAGGAUGACCAGCCACACUGGGACUGAGACACGGCCCAGACUCCUACGGGAGGCAGCAGUGGGGAAUAUUGCGCAAUGGGGGCAAGCCUGAUGCAGCCAUGCCGCGUGUAUGAAGAAGGCCUUCGGGUUGUAAAGUUCUUUCGGUAGGGAGGCGUUACCGACAGAAGAAGCACCGGCUAACUCCGUGCCAGCAGCCGCGGUAAUUC
rnacentral:rRNA from 1 species